CGUAAAGACAACCUACGCCUACUCAGAGGGGAAGUAACAGUGAGAAAUCAUUGCUAAUACCGCAUAAGCUAGUAGUAUCACAUGAUACAGCUAGAAAAGGAGUAAUCCGCUGAUAGAUGGGCUUGCGCCUGAUUAGCUAGUUGGUGGGGUAACGGCCUACCAAGGCGACGAUCAGUAGCCGAACUGAGAGGUUGAACGGCCACAUUGGGACUGAGAUACGGCCCAGACUCCUACGGAAGGCAGCAG
rnacentral:rRNA from 1 species